rnacentral:rRNA from 1 species
CGAAAGACAUUUAAGGGGGGUUUGGGAGUGGGGGUGAGCGAGCUAGGGGAGAAACGAGGUGGGCAGCCGCCGCGGUGGGGGUGGAGGCUAGGCCGCGGCGGUGGGGGUAGAAGAGGGUCUAGGCCGCGGCGGCGCGGGAGAGGAGAGGAGGAAGAGGGUCUAGGCCUCGUCGUCUCCAGCGGCCUCCUCGUCGUCGUCGCUGCAGAGCUCUUACCUACCUUGUCACGUACGAGGUUCGCCGCGGCUCGGUGCACAACGACGGGUGGGAUCGCACUUGCCGUUGCCGUGACGGUCCGUGAACGUACUACUUACCGACCUUCUCAUACUUCGUCCACAAAAGUACUUCGACUUCCUAGAGCCGCUGCCCUGGGCCCUUAACUGUUCCCAAGCCAAGUCGUUUUCCGCCAAACCCCUCGUAGUCCGACUCUUAACCACCUUUCUCUUGGCGCUCUUUCAAAUACUGGCUAUAUUAUAUUCCUGGAGGGUUGCUCGCAGCAGUCGUCGAGAUUGGGUGAGCCGGAUUAUUGCAUGGAAGGACAAAGAAGUGCGUGUUUGACGUUCCGGUCGGUAGUUACUCGUCGUCGUUUAGCACUUGCUUUGAUUCCCAAUACAGUAUACACAUGACCCCACAUCUGGGCGGUAUACACUAGAAAUAGCAGAGAACUAUGACACUAUAACUCUGACCAUUCAUUCCAAGCCAACCACGAAUUAGUGAUAUCCGGCAUCGUACCCAGGAUAGGAUCACAUUACAUGUAUUACAUCAUCUUGACUUGGGUAAUCAACACUCCAAAUACAUCAGAUAAAUUGACCAGUUAACCAGAACAGUUUUGGGUCGGGUAACUAUUAGAACAAUACACUUCGUUUUUCAUGUAGAUAACAGAAUUCGUCUCGGAUCACCACCUUGGACAGGUGGGCCGUCUCGAACUGUACCCAUCCGAUAAACAGGUCGACAUCUAAUGCAUGGACAACUGACUCCACGUACACACGUACACCACUGAAACAGUUAGAGUACUAGUACAUACUUACACCACUAAAAGGCUUAGAAAUCUAAACAGCGAAGUCAACUAUUCCGGGACUUUUGGGUGAACCAUCGACCACACCGUUACGUCGGAUUGUAAAACCCGAUACCCAAAGCUGUCCCUAUUUAACCCCGAUUUGAUUGUUGGACUGAACUAAGCAUCGGAUUGAUCGUACCAUACUUUUACUGAAAGAAAGUUUUUUUAAUACCUCCACAUGUCUUCGUUUAGAGUGUUCCUAAACUAGACUGUCUCUCGACACGACGACAGGUACGAUGGAAAUCAGGAAAUGGUACGAUACAUAGUGUGAUCGUUAACGAGAACCCACUACAAAAAGCCAAAUGUAAUAAAAAUAGGAAGAAAAUUCGCACAAAGUCACUGGAGUCAGGACACCACCAUGGCCUAUAUAUACGAGUUGAAAACUAGUUUGUACGUCUUUAAACUGAAUUCUAAAGUUCGUUUAAACAUUGUCUCAUGUAUCUUUCUACUUUGUACCUCGACAUAGAGUUCCGUACCAUGGGAGAUGGGACAAAUACAUACCUAGUGUCAUCGGUCACAUCCAGCAGAAAAGGUAUAUUCCAGUGCGGGAGUAACAAAAAUCAAAAACAGCGGCUAAAGAUGUGUAUGAAAGAAAUCUACCUAAAGAUGUGUAUGACUACAACUUCUUUGUUGUAAGAAGACAGUGUUAUGUUCAACAAAACCUGUAACUGUACCGAAAGUUCCAAUGUGUAACCAGUAAAUGAAGAGAUUUCUAUGGAAAGAAACUUACUUUUUUCCACAUAGAACAAUAAACUUCGUUGUUAAUAUAGAUAACAGAAAUCGCCUCGAAUCACCUAUUCAAGGAACACCACCUUGGACAUGUGGGCCGCCUCGAACUGCGUCCAUUCGAUAAACAGGUCGACAUCUGCUGCGUGGACGACUGAUACUCCACGUACACACAUACACCACUGACAGUUAGAGUUCUGGUGCAUACUUACGCCACUCAAAGAUUUUGAAUCCUAAACAACUGAGUCAGCUAUUCUAGGACUUUUAAGUGAACCAUCGACCACAUUUUUACGUUGGAUUGUAAAACCCGAUACCCAAAGUUGUCCCUAUUUUAACCCCGAUUAAUUGUUGGAUCUGAACUAAACAUCGUAUUAAUCGUACCAUGCCUUUAUCGAAAGAAAAAUAGAAACAUACCUCCACAUGGCUUCGUUUAUGAUGUUCCUAAACUAGUCUGUUUCUCGACACGGCGUCCGGUACCAUGGAAAUAGUACAACAUAUGUAAUCGGUAACAUCAACCCACUAUAAAAAGACAAAUGUAAUAACAAAUAAGAAGAAGAAAAUUCGCACAAAGCCACUGGAGUCAGGACGUCGCCAUGGACCUAUAUAUACGAGUUGAAAACUAGUUUGUACUUAUUUAAACUGAACCCUGAAGUUCAUCAGACCUUGGCUCCCCCAUGUAAAAUUCUACUUGGUACCUCGACAUAGAGUUUCGUACAAUGGUAGAUAGGACACAUACAUACCUAGUGUCAUCGAUCACAUCCAGUUAAAUCUUCCAGGUCCACAACACUAAACGAUAAAAGUAUACUCUAGUCUGGGAGUAACAAAAGUCAAACACAGCGGCUAAAGAUGUGUACGGCGACAACUUCUUUGUUGUGAAGAAGAGACAGCGUUAUGUUCAACAAGAUUUGUAACUGUAACUGUACUGAAGGUUCCAAUGUGUAAUCGGUAAAUAAAGAGAAUUCUUGUAUAAAAGAAACUUAGUUUUCCCCAUAUGAGGCAC